rnacentral:rRNA from 1 species
UACGGAGGGUGCAAGCGUUAUCCGGAUUCACUGGGUUUAAAGGGUGCGUAGGUGGGCAGUUAAGUCAGUGGUGAAAUCUCCGGGCUUAACUCGGGAACUGCAUCUGAAACUGCUUUGCUUGAGUCCUGGAGGGGGUAGUGGAAUUCCCAGUGUAGCGGUGAAAUGCGUAGAUAUUGGGGGGAACACCUGCGGCGAAGGCGGCUACCUGGACAGUGACUGACGCUGAGGCGCGAAAGCUAGGGGAGCGAACGGG